rnacentral:rRNA from 1 species
UACGUAGGUGGCGAGCGUUGUCCGGAUUUACUGGGCGUAAAGAGCGCGCAGGCGGUCGUUCAAGUCGCGUGUGAAAGCCCCCGGCUCAACUGGGGAGGGUCACGCGAUACUGAUCGACUCGAAGGCAGGAGAGGGUAGUGGAAUUCCCGGUGUAGCAGUGAAAUGCGUAGAGAUCGGGAGGAACAUCCGUGGCGAAGGCGACUACCUGGACCAGCACUGACACUGAGGCACGAAAGCGUGGGGAGCAAACAGG